AUAUAUACAUGUGAGUGUGAGUCUUACAUAAGCAGCAGUGUGAAACUCUCUGAAGUCUCCCUGUUUCUUGUUGAGGAGCUCCAGAGAAUCAUCUGCUUCAUUCAGAGUCUUGAGAGCAGCUUCUCCAACAUCCUGCAGCCAGGAGCUCACCUACAGGUAUAAAUAUAUAUUAACAAUGAUCCAACACACACACACACAGACACACACACUGUGACCCCAGGGUAAUUCUGUAUGUGUAUUCAGAGCCGUGAGCGGUGGACUUCACGGGAAGUAGAUAAAUAUGAGUAUACAUACACUAGUAUGUAUACUCAUAUUUACUUAUAUAUACACUGGUACUACGUCUGGUUGGGGAAUCCGAACUCUCUCCUUCCUACCAGCUGAUGAACAGAAACAAAGGAAUUCCAGGAACUGUAGGAACGCAGCUCAUUCAGCUGGGCACCAGCAUCCCACCAGCAGACGGACCUCCUCGGCGGACUGUGAGCAGUUGUGUGCGUACUGAGCAUGCUCAGACUGACCUCGGCAAAGCCCGCCUCCAGGCCCUUGAAGUACAGGAUGAAGUUCAGCUCCUGCGUCCUGGCGUUGGAGAGAGUGACCAGACGAUGCAGCAGCUCGUCCACCUGCUCGUACAGCGCGGACACCACCUCCAAAGCCACGCCGACACCGCCCUCUUCUCGGCGCAGGCGAGACAGCGAGGCCCCGCCCUCCUGCUGUAGCUGCACCAAUCGGCUGUCUUCGAGGACGCUGCGCAUCAUGGUUUGGUACCUGGACAACAGCACCUCGGCCUCCUGAGAAGGAACGAGAGAACCUGGAGUGAGUCUGCGUGUCUGCGUGUCUGCGUGUGUGUGUCUGCGUGCGUGCGUGUGCGUGUGCGUGUGUGCGUGUGCGUGCGUGUGUGUGUGCGUGCGUGUGUUACCUCUGCUCCAGCAGGUAGAGGUGUGUUCUGCAGGAUGUUGACGGUUUUCUGCAGCAGCUUGAUGACGUCGUCACACUGAAUUGUCAGCUGCUCCAAUCGCUAAACAAACAACACAAUAAGUUACUGUUGAACUUUGUGUGCGUCUGCAGGUGGAGAACCUACCGAUCUGAAGCAGAGCCAGCUGCUCAGACUGAAGCUGGAGGAACCUCCGAACUCUGCAGGAAACUGCUGGAGAGCUACGUGCUUCUGAAGAGACUUCAGCGAAAACAACACCUCCACCUGCACACACACACACACACAGACACACUCUCUGAGAACCUCUGAUUCAUCUGCUGUGAGCACGAGUACAUGGACCCUGCUGCAGGUCAAUAUUCAGGGUGAUCAUGUGACCAGGUGAUCAUGUGACGGGCUUUACCUGUGCUGCUCCAUGUACGUCGAGACCCAUAAAAGAAUCCUUGUUGAGCAGCAGGAGGACGGAGUGGACAGAGCCAGGGACGUUCUCCUGAGGGGCCGAGGAGGCGACAGUUUAACAUCACCCUGCUGGCCAGCGACCAAUCAGAACAUGAUGGUGCGCUCAGGUGCGCACGUUGGGGCGUAGUUUCAGACUCACCUGCAGGGCCCUGAGGGCAGAGAACAGGACCGGGACUGGAGCAGCUCCGCGGGCGUCCACCAGAACCGUCAGGCCCAAGGCUGCCACCUCUUUUCUGUUUCACACAGGAAGUGAUGUCAGAGGAGGAGGACCCGAGUGUGUGUGCGAGUACAGGUGUGGGGGAGGGGCUACCUGAGGGUGGAGCAGUAGUAGAGUAGGAGGCGCAGCAGCACGGCGCUGUCACAGUCGGGGUUGGACCACACGGAGUUCGUGGUGCAGACCGCCAGCAGAACUCGACCGCUCCGGUCUCUGGUCCCUGAACGGAGACAGUCUCCCCUCAUGAGGCAUUCAAGGACUAGUAGGAAACCCAAGAACUCACAGCUUCACCGCUCUAACAUUUAUAACAGAACCUGUAUUUGCAUUGGUUUUAUUCACCUUUCACACCGGAGGAUUUGGUUCUGGGUCUAACCCUUGAUGUGGUUCUGAUCUUGGUUCAGGUCUACAGUUUUACUCACCAGGUAAACAGAGAGCUCCAGAGCGUAGCAGCACUGUGUAGAAGCUGGCCUGGGAGGACUGGGAGAGCCGUACUGGUACCAUUGAAGCAGCUGACUGGUGCAGCUGCGGUUCUGGUUCUGUUGGACUGGGACCGGUCGAAGGGGGGCCGUAAGACUGGAAAGGACGUCUGCUGAGGCCUGUCGAGAAAAGUUAACUAGUCACUGACCUUUCCUCGCACUAACUAGUUGUCUCAAAUGUCCUCAGACUAUUAGGUUGACAUUAGUCUCUGACCAGUCCUCAGACUAACUGGUUAACGUUAGUCUCACACUAACUAGUUGACAUUAGUCUCUGACCUGUCCUCACACCUAGUAAACAGAAGUUGACAUCAGGACCACAGAGAGUCUUCACAUCUUCAGACUAAAGACACACCUCUUCAGACUCCACCUCCACUAACACACUAACUGUAGCACUUACAUUGGACUUAUAAUGGUUCUUAUCUACAGCAAGUUGGACAUCGGCUUAUUUGAUGAAAUCGCACUUUCUUGUUUCUUGUUCUUCUGAGUUUGUGUCCUUAUGGUUGAAAUGUUCUUAUUGUAAGUCGCUUUGGAUAAAAGCGUCAGAUAAAUGACAUGUGAUGUGAUGUAAUGGGUUAAGUUCUCCGUCAUAUAAUUCACUAACUCGUCCCCUGAGGAAUCUACAUCCAAACUGAGACAACAGAUGUUUUUGAGGAGGUGGAGGACAAUGAUUCAGCCAAUCAGAUGAUGAUAUCAACAGAAGGAUGAAAAGCAGGAGGGAAGUAUAACUGAGGAGAAGGUUUCUGUACCUUCAGUCUGAGGCUUUGCAGUUCUUCCUCCACCAACCUCUUCACUUUGCUCCUCCUCCUCCUUCUUCUUCUCUCGUUGGUUUUCCUGUCCAGCUCUGCACCAGAGUGAUUCUGCAUCCAUCGGUGGUGAGUUGGUUUCAGAACAAGAGUCUUCAGAGGGUUUGUGUUUAGCAGAAUAAAAGUCCCCAUGGUGCCUGUGUUGGUUAUGGUUUUCAGAAUAAGAGUCCCCAUGGUGCCUGUGUUGGUUAUGGUUUUCAGAAUAAGAGUCCCCAUGGUGCCUGUGUUGGUUAUGGUUUUCAGAAUAAGAGUCCCCAUUGUGCCUGUGUUGGUUAUGGUUUUCAGAAUAAGAGUCCUCAAAGAGUGUUUGAACCACUUUGUUUUCAGAAGGGUUGUCAGGGUGUCUUUGGUUGGUCUUAUCUUCACAAUAAGAGUUGUAAGAGUGCUUGGGUUGUCUAUUACAUUCAGAAUAAGAGUCCACAGAGUGUGUAUUUUCUUGUGUCUCCUCCUCUUCCUCGCCUUCUUUCAUUAUUUGCUCUUCCUCCCUCCUACCUCGAUUCUGCUGCUGAACUGUCACCUGAACCUCUUCUUCCACUUCUAUCUCCUCUAACUCAUCCAACUCUCCCUCUGUGUCUUCACUUUCAUUUAGUAAACCUUCAUCCUGCCUAUACUUUGCAUCCUCCAGCUGUUUUUCUUCCUUGUCUUCAUCAUCUGGCACUACCAUUCCAUGCUUCCCUUUCUGCCUCUUCAUCAGCUCUCUCUCCUCCAUCCCUCCCCCUGGCUCCUCCUCCUCUUCCUCUUCACUCACAUCUGUGCAGCUUUCAGGUUCAGUGUUUAACUUCAGACGUAUGCCUGAAUCAGUACCUUCCAUGUUCUCCAGUGACGUCCAGCUGAUGGGUCCCAGGGCUUCAGGAGGAGCAGAGGAGGUGGAGGAGAUUGCGGUGAGGAUGACCGUUCCACAGGGGUCCUGGAUCAGGUUCUCCUCCAUGAGCCUGGAGCAAAGAGGGGUGUGGGAGCUGACCUCCACACCGGGCCAGGAGGAGAGUGUGUGAGUGGCGUGUGUGCUGGUCCUGGCUCGGUGCUGCAGAUUGAUGGACUGGGUUAAGGAGCCUUUCUGUGGGGAGAAGCGAGGCAGCUCCAUCAGCUCCACGUACUCGCCCUCCGAGUCCUCGGUGUCCUCACUCGCUGCUCUCGAGGAGCUGACAUCUCUCACCAGAAGUUGCGACGUUUUCAUCAACAUGUCUCCAUCCUUAACAGGGGACUCGUUCUCCUUCUUCAGGGAGGGCUCGCUGGGGAAUGGUGGGUAGACCAGGUCCGCCCACGGGACCUUAAAGACGUCCCCGUGGGCGGAGAGGAGGCAGCUCUCAAGUCUCCGCGCCCCUCGCUGCUCCCCCUCCUUGUUGAUUGAGUCCAGCCAGGCCAUGCUGAAGAUGACGGCGGGGCUAUCUCGCACAUUUCCUGGUGCUCCACAUGGAGCGGAGGAGGUUGCAGCUCUGAUGCAGGACGCGCUGUGGUCUCAGGGAGGAGGAGCAGGUAGAAGUCUCCUGGAAGCGAAGGCCUCCUCCCCUGCAGCAGCUCUCCACCACACAGAGGACCUGAGGAAGGAGGAGAGAGGGGCCUGGAUGCAGCGGUCCAACGAUUCAGAGCCCUGUGGAGUAAAGAACAAGAACAGAACUAUAUGAAGAGCUUGUAGCUUCACGGCACUCGUCAUCUAACUCUGCUAAUGUUAAGGCUUCUUACACUGCAGCUGAUCUCAGGGCGACGAAAUAACCAGGAGUCAAACCUUUAACACAGAGCAGAAGUGUGAAUUCAGGUUCAAAUAAAAAUGUCUUCCGUUUCUGCCCGAGAACACCAGUACCAGUACCGCUGACCAGCACCAGCGAGCUUUUAGACCAGCACACAGCUGAGUUCGGCCACCUCCUGGGCUAUAAUUAGUCCACACAUGCAUGUUACUGUACUCCAGUCAGCUGCUGCACGUCUGAAUAGGAGCCAACACGCCUCAUCAGCACGUGUUCCUUUCUCAGCCGCACCCCUGGAGGUGUGGCUGAGAGACCCCGUCUUUAUGGUGGCAGUAACUGCCAGCACUUGCCGCCGGAGCGCUUCUUGUAUAAGUUUAUUUGUAUGUAUUAAAAUGUCACAUAAAAAAUAUAUAUAUAUAUUUAUGAUAUAUAUAUAUGAGAACACAGUAGUACAGACAGAGGACGCACUCGUACACACUGAGGACACACUAGUACAGACAGAGGACACACUAGUACACACUGAGGACACACUAGUACACACUGAGGACGCACUCAGGACACACUAGUACACACUGAGGACACACUAGUACACACUGAGGACACACUAGUCCACACUGAGGACACACUGAAGGGGGUGCACAUCAAAGCUGUCCCCUGAGGUCCCCUGGGACAAGCAAAGAGACCCUGUUGGCCUGCUGAAUAGUGACCUUGUGGGUCCGGGUUAGCACAGCUCUCAUUAGGAGCAAUUUACAGUGAGGUCAGAGGUCGAUACCUAGAUGAUCCUAUAGACACGUAGACUAAAGGUGAUCAGAUACCUUGUGGUGCUUUAAGCUACAAUGUAGAUAGUGGUAUAAGUACACAUACACAGUAUUACCGGGACCAGACUAACCCGAUCAACACGUCUCUAUAGAGUGAAAACUUCCAACUGCUGCUCUUUGCCGCCACACCCAGAUUAAACUAAUCCAAUCCCUCAGGUCCUGCUGGUUCCUCUCCCUCCCCAGAGAGCCAUGAUUCAUCCACCAACCCUCAACUGGCGGCCCAGUGACUUCUGAGCCCCCCGGUAGUGGGCAGGCCAGCUGUCCCUCACACCCAUGAGCCCAUCAUACUGAGCACGGGACGUCCCGUGUCCUUUUACUCUGGAAACAUGCAGAGAAACCCCCCCUCCAAGGAGGCUUUUAUUGUGAAAGAGGAAGUGAGUGUGAAGGGAAAACAUGGGAGACUGAUAACAGAUACACACACACACACACACACACACGGCUUCAGAUACACAAUGCAACUGAUACACAGCACACACACUCUUUGGUUUUAUAUCACAUCCCAGAUAUUCUCUUUUGAUAUAUUUCAUGUAUUUUGCUCUUUUACGGUUCAUAUCUCAGAUUAUCUCUAAUGCAGAGCUCUCAACUUUUCAAAACACUUUGGAGUGACAUGUGUCAGUGGGGACCGUACGGCCGACGGGGAGGGUGGAGAGAAACAGCGGCUCGGACCGAAGUCCGAUUUGAUUUUUAGCGCGGGGUGAAUAAAACAAACCUGCGAAAAAUAUAAUGCAGUGAAUAUCAAAAUAUAUAUAGUGAAGUGAAGAUUGAAAAUAGUUAUAGAGCUGAGUCAAAACUAUAUUCAUCCCGAAAAUAUUUUUUGUCCACUGAUUUUUCCUGAGCUACUGUUUUUAUGGCCGCCACACUUUUCAGUUAAGGUGCGUUCACACAACCGCUGUGCGAAUUGUUUUUGCUGCGAGUAUGAGAGCAUCCUGCUUAUAUUUUAUACUCAUAUUUAUCAUUAAAAAACCUCUCCUAAAUGAACCACAUGAAAUGGAAAUAUAACAAAUAUCCAUGACUUUUCCAAAACUUUUAUUUUUUUUCUAUGACUUUUCCAGGCCUGGAAAUGACCAUUUCAAAGUUCCAUGACUUUUCCAGGUUUUCCAUGACCGUACACACCCUGUAUUCAGUUCAAUUCAUUUUAUUUUAUAUAACCCAAAAUCGCAAAUUACAGAUUGGCUUUAGAGGGCUUUACAGUCUGUUGCUGCUUCGUCAAAGAGCAUAAUCAAGUUUAAAUAAUCUGAUUGGCUGCUUCUGACGGUUUAUUCACAUUACUCAUCAGGUUACUUUAAGCUCCUCUUGUUGUAUUUGCAGCUACUCAUAUUCAAUCCGCAGGAAACCUUAUUCAGCCCAAUUUCAUCUGACAGACACUCAACAAUUCUAUUGCAGAUUCAAACACACACACAGACACACACACACGCACAGACACACACGCACAAACACAUCCCCCUCAGGACUAACGUUUGAUGAAACCCUACAGCCCCCCAUAACCAGACCAGGUGUGUGUCUUACCAUGUGGGCAGCAGUCUCUCUCUCUCUCUCUCUCCCUGAGGUUUCUCAGUGUCUCUCAUCC
ensembl:lncRNA